UACAGAGGGUGCAAGCGUUAAUCGGAAUUACUGGGCGUAAAGCGCACGUAGGCGGAUAUUUAAGUCGAUUGUGAAAUCCCCGGGCUUAACCUGGGAACUGCAGUCGAUACUGAAUAUCUAGAGUAUGGUAGAGGAAAGUGGAACUCCCGGUGUAGCGGUGAAAUGCGUAGAUAUCGGGAAGAACACCAGUGGCGAAGGCGGCUUUCUGGACCAAUACUGACGCUGAGGUGCGAAAGCGUGGGGAGCAAACAGG
rnacentral:rRNA from 1 species